CCAAACACUAGUUAUCAUAUUAUUUUUCCUCUACCUGGUGUCACCAGAUUGUUUUCCCUACCCUCUGUAGCCAAAACAACUUCCCCACACUUGUCACCACAUUUGUUCUCCUUCACUCUAUAGCCAACACAACCUUUCCCUCAAUUCAGAAUUUAUACAACAUGUGACCCAACCAAAUGCCUAGCUGAAUCUUGGAGAAACAAGAAUGGUUGACGUCAUUGAGGCAAGUCAAUUGAAGUUUUCUAGCAAUGCUUUUAUCGCCUUGUCUUUGGGAAAGUUAGAAAUCAUUUGAUGUUAGUUCCGUUGGGGUAAGUCAAUGGAAUCUAAUGUUAGUCUCUUGGGCAUCUUUGAUUUAGAAUAGUUUCUGUUGGGUGAUGUUCAUAGAUAUAUGGGUGGGUCCAUGGAGAUGAGAAAUCCACUUUCUUACUUAAAUAUAAGAUAUGGGAAUCAUGUGUUUGAGGCUUUCGGCUUAUAUAUUAAACACUGACCUUUAAAUCAGAUUUGUAAUUGCCCUAGGAAUUACAAUUAUCUACUGCAGGUUGCACAUGAUAAGGGCUGAAUUAUAUUUGGUAUGUUAUGGGUAAGGAAUACACACACUAAUCUUGUAUACUAACUGAUGAGAAGGUGUGGUUAGUUCGAAAUUGUCAUUGUGUAAUCAACUAAAGUGCCUAAUGUUGUUAUGUAAUUGGACUUGUCAAUUGAAUAUAUAUCAGCAGAAGGUUCUCUACACAAAAAUAUUUGGUUCAAGAUUCCACUUUAUCAAUUUAUCAAGUAUAUUAAGUGGUGCAAGGGGAGUAUAAGAUUUCAAGGGUCAGAGUUGAUUGGCUGUUUAAGCACUAACCAACCAGCCUUGGGCUGGUUUUGCAAUUCCUCUUGAAGUUAAAUUGGUUAAAUUUUGAUGUAGAGGGCUUGGUUUUGAGAAGUCUUGAGAUGGGAUUGUGAAACCUAGACUUAGUGGUGAAUUUUAGAGUUCAAUUAGUUGUUUGGGUUUGUUAAAGGAAUAUGGAUAAAAGGAAAAUUGGAGGAACUAUUUUCAUAAUGUAAUUAGGACCAUGAGAAUUACAGUAUAACUUGAUUCUCAUUUAUAGCAGAAAAAUCAGCACUAGGUGACUAGGGUGCCUUAGUUACUAGCACACUAUUUCAUGGUAGUAGUUAAUAUUACAAUGCUUUGUCAUGUAUGUUAAGGUACCUUUGAAUUCAACCUUAUAGGCUCUAGCCAGUGACUUUUGGAGCACCCAGUUGUUGGUUUUGCAGGAAGCUUAAGAUACUUAGAGGCACUCACAGAUUAGAGGUUCCCUGGAUGAAGGAAGUUGCAGUCUAUUUUUAUUGAUCUUGAGGGUUUUAUAUGUUGACGGUUUUAAAUUAUGAACUUGAGGAUUAUUUCCUUCGGAUUUUCGAGGAUAUCAUAUUUUGGGAUUUGAUGUAAUACUGGUCCAUGAGUGAUUUGGACUCUAGGGAGUAUGUCUUUUGUUGAUGGAACUUUCUUUUUGUUAGUCUGAUGUUUUGUAAUUGGGAUUAGAGCUCUGACAGUUGUGACAUGAAUUUUAGAGUAAUGGUUCAAUUUUUAUUUAAUUUUGUUA